GUUGACCUCGGAUCAGGUAGGACUACCCGCUGAACUUAAGCAUAUCAAUAAGCGGAGGAAAAGAAACCAACAGGGAUUGCCCCAGUAACGGCGAGUGAAGCGGCAACAGCUCAAAUUUGAAAUCUGGCCCCAGGCCCGAGUUGUAAUUUGCAGAGGAUGCUUUUGGCGCGGUGCCUUCCGAGUUCCCUGGAACGGGACGCCAUAGAGGGUGAGAGCCCCGUACGGUUGGACACCAAGCCUUUGUAAAGCUCCUUCGACGAGUCGAGUAGUUUGGGAAUGCUGCUCUAAAUGGGAGGUACAUUUCUUCUAAAGCUAAAUAUUGGCCAGAGACCGAUAGCGCACAAGUAGAGUGAUCGAAAGAUGAAAAGCACUUUGAAAAGAGGGUUAAACAGCACGUGAAAUUGUUAAAAGGGAAGCGCUUGUGACCAGACUUGCGUCCGGUGAAUCACCCAGCUCUCGCGGCUGGGGCACUUCGCCGGCACAGGCCAGCAUCAGCUUGCCGUCGGGGACAAAAGCUUCAGGAACGUGGCUCCUCUCGGGGAGUGUUAUAGCCUGUUGCAUAAUACCCUUCGGCGGGCUGAGGUACGCGCUCCGCAAGGAUGCCGUAAUGGUCAUCAGCGAC
rnacentral:rRNA from 1 species